rnacentral:rRNA from 1 species
AUUGAACGCUGGCGGCAUGCUUUACACAUGCAAGUCGAACGGUAACAGGGAGCUUGCUCCGCUGACGAGUGGCGAACGGGUGAGUAAUGCAUCGGAACGUACCGUGUAAUGGGGGAUAACGUAGCGAAAGUUACGCUAAUACCGCAUACGCCCUGAGGGGGAAAGCGGGGGAUCGUAAGACCUCGCGUUAUACGAGCGGCCGAUGUCGGAUUAGCUAGUUGGUGGGGUAAAGGCCUACCAAGGCGACGAUCCGUAGCGGGUCUGAGAGGAUGAUCCGCCACACUGGGACUGAGACACGGCCCAGACUCCUACGGGAGGCAGCAGUGGGGAAUUUUGGACAAUGGGGGCAACCCUGAUCCAGCCAUGCCGCGUGAGUGAAGAAGGCCUUCGGGUUGUAAAGCUCUUUCAGACGGAAAGAAAUCGCACAGGUUAAUACCUUGUGUGGAUGACGGUACCGUAAGAAGAAGCACCGGCUAACUACGUG